CUAUUAAAACAUGUUUGUCUUCAAAGAAUGGCCUUGGUUUCUGUGGGCAGUGUCUCCUCAUGGAAAGCAGCCUUUGUCACUUCAAACACUGCAAGUGUUCUUUUAAAAAAAUUAUAUCAACCUUUCAAUUAAAAUGCAACAUGUCUGCAACCUGGUAUCUAGAGAGGAACAGUAAGAGGACCUUUUGCUUGAAUAAUUUUUAUCCACACUACAGAGUGGAUAAUGAGCAGAUUAUGUAAAAACAAUUCUGCUUCACUUCA